UAAUUGGGCUUCCGCGACCUCAGCCGGAGAAGGGGGGGAGACGCCUGUGCGAGGGAGCUUGAGGCCAGCUCUUCAAGCUCUCUCCCAGAGAUCGACGACCUCCCCCACAGCACGGGGUCCAUUUAAACGGCUGCUCCGCAGCAGGUGAAGCGGGUUGCGAGAGAGAGAGAGGCAGCGGUGGGCACCCGAAGGAUGCACGGGCCUCCCUGUUUCCUUGGUAGAGUCGAUCCGCACUCAGUCUGACCCAGGACGUCACUCCGCCUGUCUGUUUUCUCAAUGAUAACUUGGCAGGAGAAGGGGGAAGCUGCGAAGUCCCCCCCCUCCCGUCCUUUUUCUCUCCCUCAGAUCAUUACUUGUUCCGACCCGUUGAAAUGAAUAGAAUGGUUCCAAUGUGAAAAUAGUGGCUGAGACCAGAUGAGUUGGAACUUCUGGGACACAAGACUUACCACAGAGUAAUACUGUUUGUAUGGGACAGGUUACAGAUAAAUACAAAACUCAUACAAUUAAUAAAGACUAGAAUUACUCAUA